rnacentral:rRNA from 1 species
GACGAACGCUGGCGGCGUGCUUAACACAUGCAAGUCGAACGGAAAGGCCCUGCUUUUGUGGGGUGCUCGAGUGGCGAACGGGUGAGUAACACGUGAGUAACCUGCCCUUGACUUUGGGAUAACUUCAGGAAACUGGGGCUAAUACCGGAUAGGAGCUCCUGCUGCAUGGUGGGGGUUGGAAAGUUUCGGCGGUUGGGGAUGGACUCGCGGCUCAUCAGCUUGUUGGUGGGGUAGUGGCUUACCAAGGCUUUGACGGGUAGCCGGCCUGAGAGGGUGACCGGCCACAUUGGGACUGAGAUACGGCCCAGACUCCUACGGGAGGCAGCAGUGGGGAAUAUUGCACAAUGGGCGGAAGCCUGAUGCAGCAACGCCGCGUGCGGGAUGACGGCCUUCGGGUUGUAAACCGCUUUCGCCUGUGACGAAGCGUGAGUGACGGUAAUGGGUAAAGAAGCACCGGCUAACUACGG